ensembl:lncRNA
UGUUUAACCAGAAACUACUGGACACCUGCUUCCUUCCAGGCUCAGAUUCCCACAAAGACUCACAUGGCUUCACACGCUCUGCUCCCUCAUGGACUCUGCUUCCCCACUUCUGGACUCCUUUUUCCCCGACCCUUUUUCUCCGUCUUGUGAGUAUCCCUCCUUAGUUUACUUUUGUUAAUCCAGUUUAGUGUUGGUUGACUUCCGUUUCUGUAUUCGUAGUGUUUGCUGAGUUUUGAAUAGCUGGGUUUAGUUUUGUUUCCCCAGUUCAGCUCUCCAUUUAUGUACUAGUUUCAUUAUCUUUUUAAAUGAAACUCUUUCCAUUAUUCACCUGUCUGCAAGUCUCUCUGUGUCUGUGCCUGCGUUGUCCAACUCAGGGCCCAAACCGUCCCUUAAAUGACUCUGGGUCCGUUUCACGAAGCAGGUUCAACAAACUCUGUGUAAGCCUGAACUCUGAGUUGAUCUACUCUGAGAUAGAAAACUCUGAGUUUUCGGUUUAACAACGGCUGAUUUGAGUUGGUUUAAUCAACUCGGAGUAGUUUCACCCAGAGUGCACCGCAACUAUAAAAAGACAGCAUCAAUGGAACCCCGAUUCGACGAGUCACCAUGGCAACGGGGAAGCGGAGAGCUACGUUUUUUUUUACACCACAUGAAUUGGACAUUUUAAUGCGUUCAUAUGGCGACUUCGAACACGUUUUUAGAAAGAAGUGCAGCACCUGCAGCUGCAAAAGAGAGAGAGAGAGACAGCGUGGGAGAACAUUGCUGCCCGGGUCAAUGCGUGCAAUCCUGCGGGGGAGAAGCGCAUGUGGCAGGAGCUGAAGAUGAAAUAUAAGAACAUUGUUCAAACAGCCAACAGAAAGAAAGCAGAUGCCUGUAAAAAGGGAGGAGGCCCAGCACCGCCACCUGUAACGGAGGCAGAGGAGCUGCUCCUAAGCCAGAAUUUGGGAAGGCCAGUGGCUGAGGGAAUCCCUGGAGGGAGACUCAGCUGCUGCAUUAUUGGAGACGUUCAAGAAUGAAUCCCUUUCGAGUGCGAAGCCUGCUCCACCUCCGUCAUGGAUCCCCCAGCUCCCCUGCCUCCUCUCCAGCACCAGCUUCAGCACCAGUACCAGCUCGGACACCGACCCUGUCAACAUCAACCUUCAGCACGUAACAGCAACGUCUUAUCACUGGCAAGAGGAAAAGGGGCCACAGAAAAUUGGACCUUCCAAGCGUACUUGUGGAGAUGCAGGCUGAGAAGGAGUGGAGUCAUGCCCAGCAUGAUGAGAAC